GCCGCGGUGGCCAAGUGGUUAAAGUACUGGGCUGCGACUCUCGUGGUCCCGAGAUCGAAUCUCGGCCGCGGCA
rnacentral:tRNA from 1 species